AUUGAACGCUGGCGGCAUGCCUUACACAUGCAAGUCGAACGGCAGCACGGGUGCUUGCACCUGGUGGCGAGUGGCGAACGGGUGAGUAAUACAUCGGAACAUGUCCUGUAGUGGGGGAUAGCCCGGCGAAAGCCGGAUUAAUACCGCCUACGAUCUACGGAUGACAGCGGGGGACCUUCGGGCCUCGCGCUAUAGGGUUGGCCGAUGGCGGAUUAGCUAGUUGGUGGGGUAAAGGCCUACCAAGGCGACGAUCAGUAGCUGGUCUGAGAGGACGACCAGCCACACUGGGACUGAGACACGGCCCAGACUCCUACGGGAGGCAGCAGUGGGGAAUUUUGGACAAUGGGCGAAAGCCUGAUCCAGCAAUGCCGCGUGUGUGAAGAAGGCCUUCGGGUUGUAAAGCACUUUUGUCCGGAAAGAAAUCCUUGGCCCUAAUACGGUCGGGGGAUGACGGUACCGGAAGAAUAAGCACCGGCUAACUACGUG
rnacentral:rRNA from 1 species